GAGAGAGAAACAAACACACACACAAACAAACACACCUGCCAACGCAACACCCCCACCCAUUUAAGUCAAAAAGUUUAAUUCUUUUUGACAAUUAACACCAGAAAACAAACAAACACAUAUCAAGCCCUUGAAAGGGCAUCGGCAAUAACGUUUUCUGUACCCUUCUUGUGGCGGAUGUCAAUGUUAAAACCUUGCACUACUAAUGACCACCUCAUUAGUCUCUGAUUGGAGUUGGCCAUGCGCUGGAGAAAAACCAGAGGGUUGUGGUCAGUGUAAAUCACGACAGGUAAGUUGCUACCACCCACGUAAAUUUCAAAGUGCUGGAGGGCAAGAAGUAACGCUAGGGCCUCUUUCUCGAUUGUGCUGUAACGCUGUUGUGUUUUUGAAAAUUUCUUUGAGAAAUAGCACACAGGAUGAUCAACUCCAUUUUCACCCUCUUGGAGCAGCACUGCCCCAGCUCCCAAUGCACUGGCAUCAACUUCUAUUUUAAAGGGGUGAGUAAAGUCAGGGGCAGAGAGAACUGGGGCACUGCACAGAAGGUCUUUAGCUGCACUGAAAGCUGAAUCACACUUUUGAUCCCACACAAAAUCUUUGGACCCACUUAACAGGUCAGUGAGAGGGGAAACAACGGAGGAAAAGUUUUUACAGAAACUCCUGUAAUAGCCCACCAUACCGAGGAACCGACGUAAUUCUCGUUUGGUGGUGGGGGCGGGGAAAUGAACAAUAGCCUCCACUUUGGCUUCGAUCGGGCGCACCUGUCCUUGUCCGACCUGCUUACCCAAAAUUACGUCAGCACCUGUGUAGGUUUCUGGAGUCAGAGGAAUAGUGCCAGCCAGCAGGAGACUUUGGGCUGCUCCCGUGUCCCUCAACACAGACACUGAUUUGGGCCUCACAAUCAGCUAUGAGAUGACCAGCGUCCAAGCAAUAAAAACACACUCUGCCCUCACCAGAACGCUGCUGAGCGCCCCUGCGCACCCCAAAAGCUCCUCCCCUGCCUGGUUUCGCAACACCCGUCCAGCCCUUUACCUGCCCUUCAGCACCCCGAACAGCAACCCUGUCAUAAUUCAUUGGUGAAAAGACUGUACGGUGUGUUAAAAUGAAUUCGUCCGCCAGCACGGCGGCUGCAGAGAGAGACUUAACCUUCUGCUCGUUUAGGUGCACAACUAAACUUUCAGAAACACUGCUUUUAAAGUCUUCCAAUAAAACUAGUUCUUUUAAAGCUUCAAAUGUAGUAGUUUUACUGGCAGCGCACCACUUUUCAAAAAGGUUCUGUUUCUCUCUGGCGAAUUCCACGAAAGUUUGUUUGUCUGCUUUCUUAUGGGCUCUAAAUUUUUGUCUAUAUGCCUCCGGAACUAACUCAUAAGCACGAAGAACAGAUUGCUUCACCACGUCGUAAUUUAGACUCUGUUCAAUCGGUAGCGCAGAACAAACCUCUUGUGCUUUCCCCAUAAGCUUACACUGCAGUAACAGAGCCCACAUUUCCUUCGGCCACUGCAGUGUAGCGGCAACCCGCUCAAACGCGGUAAAAUAGCUGUCCACUUCAGCUUCACGGAAAGGAGGCACUAAAUUAAUGUGUCGGCUCACAUCAAAAAUUGGAGCGUUAGGCACAUCGGGAGUUGAAACUGGAGUGGAAGUGGCUGGCAAAGGGGCGGCGGGUAAUCGAGCGAACGAAGGAAAAGCAGGAGAACCUUCCAGUGGAUCCUCAGCCGGGGGAGACCGGCCGUGAUCCACUCGAAGCCGCUCUCUCUCUAACUCCAGCUCCAGCUCUCUUAACCUCAGCCUCUUCGCCACGCUCUCUUCCUGUUUGAUUCGUAAAUCCAAUUCUUUUGACUUUAACACAAAUAACGGGUCCGAAUUUGGUAAACUACCUGGUGGUGCAAAUAUUGGUGACUUGAAAAGCGGAGAUAAAGGUGGCGGAGUCGAGAGCCCCUCGUCGGCCUUCGACGGCGAAGACGUUCCCAU